CCUACGGGUGGCAGCAGUGGGGAAUAUUGGGCAAUGGGCGCAAGCCUGACCCAGCAACGCCGCGUGAAGGAAGAAGGCUUUCGGGUUGUAAACUUCUUUUGUCAAGGAAGUGUAGCAGACGGUACCUGACGAAUAAGCCACGGCUAACUACGUGCCAGCAGCCGCGGUAAUACGUAGGUGGCAGGCGUUGUCCGGAUUUACUGGGUGUAAAGGGCGUGUAGCCGGGUUGACAAGUCAGAUGUGAAAUCCUGCGGCUUAACCGCAGAACUGCAUUUGAAACUGUUGAUCUUGAGUACUGGAGGGGCAGACGGAAUUCCUAGUGUAGCGGUGAAAUGCGUAGAUAUGAGGAGGAACACCAGUGGCGAAGGCGGUCUGCUGGACAGCAACUGACGGUGAGGCGCGAAAGCGUGGGGAGCAAACAGGAUUAGAUACCCGAGUAGUC
rnacentral:rRNA from 1 species